rnacentral:rRNA from 1 species
UACGGAGGGCGCAAGCGUUGUUCGGAAUCACUGGGAGUAAAGCGCGUGUAGGCGGCUUGGCAAGUCGGGUGUGAAAGCCCGGAGCUCAACUCCGGAACUGCAUUCGAAACUGCCUCGCUCGAGUCCCGGAGAGGGUGGUGGAAUUCCCGGUGUAGAGGUGAAAUUCGUAGAUAUCGGGAGGAACACCAGUGGCGAAGGCGGCCACCUGGACGGUGACUGACGCUGAGACGCGAAAGCGCGGGGAGCAAACAGG